rnacentral:rRNA from 1 species
GACGAACCGUGCGAACGUUGUUCGGAAUCACUGGGCUUAAAGGGCGCGUAGGCGGGCUGCCAAGUCCGGGGUGAAAGCUUUCGGCUCAACCGGAAAAGUGCCUUGGAUACUGGCGGUCUCGAGGGAGGUAGGGGCAUGUGGAACUUCCGGUGGAGCGGUGAAAUGCGUUGAUAUCGGAAGGAACGCCGGUGGCGAAAGCGACGUGCUGGACCUUUUCUGACGCUGAGGCGCGAAAGCCAGGGGAGCGAACGGG